rnacentral:misc_RNA from 1 species
CUUUACCCAGUUUUCUUUCUAUUCUGUAGACUGGGGAGCCUCCAACCUGGACCUUCUCAGGCAGCGGUGCGGUGCUUCCCUCGUCCUCAGCGCCAGGGCCCUUAUCGCCGCUGCGGCCGCCGCUAUCGAACUCAUCCAUCUUCUUUUCUGCAACCUCCUCUCUAAAAGCCCUAGUCUGGUCCACCAACGGUGUCGUUUCAAGGUUCACAAUAUUAUUUUUAUCAUCAACAGCGACAGAGUUCUUUUUCCUCUUGUUCACAGCGGUUUUUCUCUGUCGAGUCUCUACGGUAACCUUAAUCGGAUUCUGAUUCGAGGUAGGUUUACUAGGGUCCCGAUUCCUGCGCACUCGGCUACGCAGGUCAGGCAUGGUAAGAUGGAUGUAGAGAGCGGUGGUGAUGGCGGUAAGUUGGGUCCAUGAAGGUGUAGAGAUUCAUGAAGGUUCUAGAAUCAUCGGAUGAAACCGAUCAUAGAGAUGUAAUAGAGAGACCAAGGAAUGAAUAGACAGUUGCAAGGACAGAGAAAAUUAGAGUUUGGCGAGUGGGAAUGUGAAGAUCUGCGGAGGGAAAUGAAAAGGGGAUUCUAUUCAGUAUAGAGAGAGAGAGAGAGAGAGAGAGA